UACGUAGGGGGCAAGCGUUGUCCGGAUUCAUUGGGCGUAAAGCGCGUGUAGGCGGCCCGGUAAGUCCGCUGUGAAAGUCGGGGGCUCAACCCUCGAAAGCCGGUGGAUACUGUCGGUCUCGAGUACGGGAGAGGCGAGUGGAAUUCCUGGUGUAGCGGUGAAAUGCGUAGAGAUCAGGAAGAACACCGGUGGCGAAAGCGUUCUGCUAGACAUGUACUGACACUGAGGGACGAAAGCUAGGGGAGCGAAUGGG
rnacentral:rRNA from 1 species